rnacentral:lncRNA from 1 species
GGAAAAUAAUAUUCAAAUAGGCCAAACAGGCAGUCUUUCCACUUGCACCCCUGUGUUUACAAUGAUACACAUCUCUUUUCUAAACCAGGCCCAAAAAAUAGGCCCAGACAGUAAGCUUUUCCACCUACAAUCCCUAAGUUCCCUAUUCCUACCCCUCCUAAAUCAGACUCCAUCAGAUGUUGCCACGUGUCGCCAGUCCACCACACAGAGAUUCAGCCAAUGACUUGCUGCAACAUCACCAUCCCAGCCACGUCAUCAUCUCCUUCAACCCUUCUCCAGAAACCUAAUCCUCCUUUGCGCCACCGCACACUCUGCCACCACUCAACCUUACAUGAGCCGCCACUACUGAAACGCCAUGGUCUCGUCGUCAGUCGCCCAACGUCAUUGCACAGCAACCACCUUCAUCUUCUUCGCGCUGCCACCAAUUGCAAAACCUAGAAGCGAGUUCUCAACAGAAAUCGCAAAACAUGAAUCGCCUCAACACCAGAAUCGCGAUUCCUUCGUCCUCCAUCACCAAGCGUGAUUCGAUCUCCUUCCAAACCUGCAUCAAAGCCAGAUCUACAAGCGAAGCAGAACCCAAAUUCAAGAUCAAUCACAAAUCGCACACCAUUGAAGUCGCUACCCCUACCAUGUUCAUCCUCCUUCAGAAAUUACGAAACCUACAAGGAAGCAAAGAACCAGAAAUAGAUUCCCAAGCACGACCUCCUUGUCAUCGUGGGCCUUCAUGGCCGCUGCGACGCCAACACUACGAGAGCCGCUGCAAGCCCUCCGUUACUCUCCUCCAUUCGCGACCUGCAAGCAAAAAUUGGCAAACCAGAAACAACCACAAACCCUAACAGGAAGAAGCCUCCGCGAGUCCAUUUCGCCAUCAAGGCAGCAACCAGCUUCUCCUUCGAGAGGUAUUUCUUUCCUUCACGACGCAGCGUUGAGCAAUUUUCCCAAUUCACAGAAACCCUAAUUUUUGGGUGGGGGAAGGGUUGCCACGUGGCGAGUGUUAACAAAUUGGCAAGCGUACCAAAUCGUUUCAAGUAAUAAUAAAUGGUAAGUCCAAGUAUCGUUUUCCCAAGAGACUCACGGCACUAAACUGUUGUGCUUUUGCUUAACCAAUCAAGACUAUAAGAACAAAAUACUUUUAUCGUUUUUGAAUGUUAAGUGCGGAAAAAUAAACAUUAAUGCAAUUUGAUCAAUUGAGGUUAAACACAAAAGUGGAUGGAUGAUGUUGAUAAGAUGAGAUGGAUUUGUUGCUAGGGUUCAGAUUUCACCUAAUCACUCUCUCAUAUUUACUUUUCUUAUUUGUUUCUCUUUGUUAUCUAAUUGUCAUGCAAACUUUCUUAGUCUACCCUUAAACCGAUCCCUCGGCGAAAAGAGCCUAUUAUUAGUUACUGGCUUGCUAUCCCUAGCCUCCCCUAGUAAUUAAUAACACAUUAAGAAUAGAAGCAAAAACAAUUGAUCGUCCUACCCCCCUAUCCCUAGGUGGUAUUGCUUAAUAAAGUAAUUUCCCCUAGUUCAUGAAAGUACUGUACGUUCCCGUAUCAAUAAAGACAAACAACGAUUAUCGAAUGAGUUAAACGAUAUAAGCUUUAAGCGCAGAAGAGAAACCCAACAAUUGAUAAUCAAAGCAUACGAUAAGCAUAUAAAUAAAUAAGAAAUUCGAUAUAUGAGAGUUUUGAGGUUACAUCUUUCCCCAGCAACAAAUAAGAUUAGUUCUCCAUCGUCAUGGAGAAACUAGGUGAAUAAUGGAAUGAAAGAGAUACAAACCCUAAAAAGGAGAAAAGGAGAGCUAUCACCAUCUUCAAAUCUAGCCCCAAAGGGGUGAAAAGUGUGUUUCUAUGCCUAAGCCAUCAAAAGAUACAAACCCUAAGACGUUCUGGCCUUUAAAUAGGGCAUAAAAAUGACAUAAACCAAGCCCAAACCCAAACAGAUCAUAAAAAAUAACAUAAAACAGGUUCAGGCCCAUCAGACAACCGCCCGAUGCCUAAUUUCACCGCUGGGCGGUUUCCCUCAAGCCGCAGCACCGCCCGACGCUCAAUUUCACCGCUGGGCGCUGGUCAACUGCACUCUGGUAAACUUUUCAGCAUUCUAGUCAACUGGUUGACUGGUUAACUUUUCUGCAUUCUGUUUGACUUUUCUGCACUCCAACCAUUUGAUAAUUCAACCAUUCUUUCAAAUCAUUCCAAAAACCUACAAAAUCAAGGGAAUUGAACGAAAAAAAUCAUAAAAAAUGUCCUCAACUCUUUUAUUCACAAAAAUAAAGAAAACGCAUUGUUCCAAGCAAGUUUCUAAGUCAAAAAUGUGUUUUUGAUAUCAAAAUUAAGUAUGAAAAUAAUUGUUUUUAAACCGUUAUCACAACCCCAAAUUUGAAACUUUGCUUGUCCUCAAGCAAACAAGAUGAAACUCAGUCUUCCACAAAUCAACACAAUGGUUCAAUCACAUUCAAAAGCUCUUUCUUUCAAGAUAGGUAAUCACUCAAAUCAACUCAUCAAUAAAAUUUAGUCAAGAUGUGCACAUGCUUUGAUUCAAAUUACUCAUCCUGGUGUUCACAUAAUCAUAUAAUCUUCCAAUAGAUGCUAUUCUCAUGAAUGAUCAAUUAGCUUAACAUAGAUAUAAUCAUGAAUUCAUGGAAUCAUUCCUCACCAGAUAAAGUGUUUCACUCAAGUGUUUCACUCAAAGGUGUAAAAAGGUCACUCCUUCCCUCUACUAUCUACAAGUCACAUAGAACAAAGUUGCUUUUCAUUUACAACAAUCAACAUCAUCACAUGCACAUGUCAUCAUAAGGACUUUUCAAGGCUUAUAAUGUGGUUGGGCUAACAAGGAAAAUUGGUUUUUCUAGAUCACAAAAUCCUUGAGUUAAGAGAGUUAUCUAUACAUUCAUAGUUCAAGCACAAACUCUCUUUUUACCAAUCUCACUCAUUCCUAACUUUCCCUUUUCUUCACAUUGAGCUUUUCUUUUCAUGNUGGAAAAUAAUAUUCAAAUAGGCCAAACAGGCAGUCUUUCCACUUGCACCCCUGUGUUUACAAUGAUACACAUCUCUUUUCUAAACCAGGCCCAAAAAAUAGGCCCAGACAGUAAGCUUUUCCACCUACAAUCCCUAAGUUCCCUAUUCCUACCCCUCCUAAAUCAGACUCCAUCAGAUGUUGCCACGUGUCGCCAGUCCACCACACAGAGAUUCAGCCAAUGACUUGCUGCAACAUCACCAUCCCAGCCACGUCAUCAUCUCCUUCAACCCUUCUCCAGAAACCUAAUCCUCCUUUGCGCCACCGCACACUCUGCCACCACUCAACCUUACAUGAGCCGCCACUACUGAAACGCCAUGGUCUCGUCGUCAGUCGCCCAACGUCAUUGCACAGCAACCACCUUCAUCUUCUUCGCGCUGCCACCAAUUGCAAAACCUAGAAGCGAGUUCUCAACAGAAAUCGCAAAACAUGAAUCGCCUCAACACCAGAAUCGCGAUUCCUUCGUCCUCCAUCACCAAGCGUGAUUCGAUCUCCUUCCAAACCUGCAUCAAAGCCAGAUCUACAAGCGAAGCAGAACCCAAAUUCAAGAUCAAUCACAAAUCGCACACCAUUGAAGUCGCUACCCCUACCAUGUUCAUCCUCCUUCAGAAAUUACGAAACCUACAAGGAAGCAAAGAACCAGAAAUAGAUUCCCAAGCACGACCUCCUUGUCAUCGUGGGCCUUCAUGGCCGCUGCGACGCCAACACUACGAGAGCCGCUGCAAGCCCUCCGUUACUCUCCUCCAUUCGCGACCUGCAAGCAAAAAUUGGCAAACCAGAAACAACCACAAACCCUAACAGGAAGAAGCCUCCGCGAGUCCAUUUCGCCAUCAAGGCAGCAACCAGCUUCUCCUUCGAGAGGUAUUUCUUUCCUUCACGACGCAGCGUUGAGCAAUUUUCCCAAUUCACAGAAACC